GUGCUUUAGGGAUGAACACGUCCCUAACAUUCAAGUCAUCCAUCCCUUUCACUUUGUCAGCUUUUUUCAUUUGUUUUUUGCUGAUCAUUAUAGGAUGGAAUAUUA